AUUGAACGCUGGCGGCAUGCCUUACACAUGCAAGUCGAACGGCAGCACGGAGCUUGCUCUGGUGGCGAGUGGCGAACGGGUGAGUAAUAUAUCGGAACGUACCCAAGAGUGGGGGAUAACGUAGCGAAAGUUACGCUAAUACCGCAUACGAUCUAAGGAUGAAAGCAGGGGACCGCAAGGCCUUGUGCUCCUGGAGCGGCCGAUAUCUGAUUAGCUAGUUGGUGAGGUAAAGGCUCACCAAGGCAUCGAUCAGUAGCUGGUCUGAGAGGACGACCAGCCACACCGGAACUGAGACACGGUCCAGACUCCUACGGGAGGCAGCAGUGGGGAAUUUUGGACAAUGGGGGCAACCCUGAUCCAGCAAUGCCGCGUGAGUGAAGAAGGCCUUCGGGUUGUAAAGCUCUUUUGUCAGGGAAGAAACGGUGAAGGCUAAUAUCCUUUGCUAAUGACGGUACCUGAAGAAUAAGCACCGGCUAACUACGUGCCAGCAGCCGCCGUAACAC
rnacentral:rRNA from 1 species